CCUACGGGUGGCAGCAGUGAGGAAUAUUGGUCAAUGGGCGGGAGCCUGAACCAGCCAAGCCGCGGGAGGGAAGAAGGUACAGCGUAUCGUAAACCUCUUUUGUCAGGGAACAAAGGCGGGGACUAGUCCCCGGAUGAGGGUACCUGAAGAAAAAGCAUCGGCUAACUCCGUGCCAGCAGCCGCGGUAAUACGGAGGAUGCGAGCGUUAUCCGGAUUUAUUGGGGUUAAAGGGUGCGCAGGCGGCCUGUUAAGUCAGCGGGAAAAGCCCGGGGCUCAACCCCGGCGAGCCGUUGAAACUGGCGGGCUGGAGUUGGAGAGAAGUACGCGGAAUGCGCGGUGGAGCGGUGAAAUGCUUAGAUAUCGCGCAGAACCCCGAUUGCGAAGGCAGCGUACCGGCUCCACACUGACGCUGAGGCACGAAAGCGUGGGUAUCGAACAGGAUUAGAUACCCGGGUAGUC
rnacentral:rRNA from 1 species